UACGGAGGGUGCAAACGUUGCUCGGAAUCAUUGGGCGUAAAGCGCACGUAGGCGGCUUUUUAAGUCAGGGGUGAAAGGCCAGGGCUCAACCUUGGAACUGCCUUUGAGACUGGAUCGCUUGAACACGGGAGAGGUGAGUGGAAUUCCGAGUGUAGAGGUGAAAUUCGUAGAUAUUCGGAAGAACACCAGUGGCGAAGGCGGCUCACUGGACCGUUGUUGGCGCUGAGGUGCGAAAGCGUGGGGAGCAAACAGG
rnacentral:rRNA from 1 species